rnacentral:rRNA from 1 species
GGAGGGGGGGCCAGCGUUGUUCGGAAUUAUUGGGCGUAAAGGGCGCGUAGGCGGGCCCGGCAAGUCAGUUGUGAAAUCCCUCGGGCUCAACCGAGGAACUGCGACUGAAACUGCCGGGCUUGAGUCCCGGAGAGGGUAGCGGAAUUCCCAGUGUAGCGGUGAAAUGCGUAGAUAUUGGGAGGAACACCGGUGGCGAAGGAGGCUACCUGGACGGGUACUGACGCUGAGGCGCGAAAGCGUGGGGAGCAAACAGGAUUAGAUACCCUGGUAGUCCACGCUGUAAACGAUGGGCACUUGGUGUUGCGGGUAUCGACCCCUGCAGUGCCGAAGCUAACGCAUUAAGUGCCCCGCCUGGGGAGUACGGUCGCAAAGGCUG